rnacentral:tRNA from 1 species
GUAGACGCUACGGACUUAAAUAAUUUGAAAAUCCGUUGGCUUUAUUGACCGUGAGGGUUCAAGUCCCUCUACCCCCA